AACGAACGCUGGCGGCAGGCCUAACACAUGCAAGUCGAACGCACCGCAAGGUGAGUGGCGCACGGGUGAGUAACACGUGGGAAUGUACCCUUUGGUUCGGAAUAACGUUUGGAAACGAACGCUAAUACCGGAUGAGCCCUACGGGGGAAAGAUUUAUCGCCAAAGGAGACGCCCGCGUCUGAUUAGGUAGUUGGUGGGGUAAAGGCCUACCAAGCCGACGAUCAGUAGCUGGUCUGAGAGGAUGAUCAGCCACACUGGGACUGAGACACGGCCCAGACUCCUACGGGAGGCAGCAGUGGGGAAUAUUGGAAAAUGGGCGCAAGCCUGAUCCAGCCAUGCCGCGUGAGUGAUGAAGGCCUUCGGGUUGUAAAGCUCUUUCGCACACGACGAUGAUGACGGUAGUGUGAGAAGAAGCCCCGGCUAACUUCGUGCCAGCAGCCGCCGUAA
rnacentral:rRNA from 1 species